CAUAUCAAUAAGCGGAGGAAAAGAAACCAACAGGGAUUGCCCCAGUAACGGCGAGUGAAGCGGCAACAGCUCAAAUUUGAAAUCUGGCCCCUAGGGUCCGAGUUGUAAUUUGCAGAGGAUGCUUUUGGCGCGGUGCCUUCCGAGUUCCCUGGAACGGGACGCCAUAGAGGGUGAGAGCCCCGUCUGGUCGGACACCAAGCCAGUGUAAAGCUCCUUCGACGAGUCGAGUAGUUUGGGAAUGCUGCUCUAAAUGGGAGGUAUAUGUCUUCUAAAGCUAAAUACCGGCCAGAGACCGAUAGCGCACAAGUAGAGUGAUCGAAAGAUGAAAAGCACUUUGAAAAGAGGGUUAAACAGUACGUGAAAUUGUUGAAAGGGAAGCGCUUGUGACCAGACUUGGGCCCGGUGAAUCAUCCAGCGUUCUCGCUGGUGCACUUUGCCGGGCUCAGGCCAGCAUCAGUUCGCCGCGGGGGAUAAAGGUUUCGGGAACGUGGCUCCCUCGGGAGUGUUAUAGCCCGUUGCGUAAUACCCUG
rnacentral:rRNA from 1 species